rnacentral:rRNA from 1 species
UAAAAAUUUAUAUAAGAAUUUUAUUUUUUAGUUAAAAAGCUAAAAUUUUUUUAAAAGACGAGAAGACCCUAUAAAUCUUUAUAUUUAUUAUUUUAUAAUUUUAUAGAUUUUUUUUAUUAUAAGGUAUUAUAAUAUUUUAUUGGGGUGAUAUUAAAAUUUGAUAAACUUUUAAUUUUUAAAAUCAUUAAUUAAUGAUAUAUUGAUCCGUUAUUAGCGAUUAAAAAUUUAAGUUACUUUAGGGAUAACAGCGUAAUUUUUUUGGAGAGUUCUUAUCGAUAAAAAAGAUUGCGACCUCGAUGUUGGAUUAAGAUAUAGUU